CCAUGUCCAUGACUUGUGAAACAUAGUCAUCAACUAAUACAUGUGCUAGUCUAAUAUUCAUGUGUGUCCUCACAUGAACUCCGACUAGGGACAACUUUAGAAUAACCACACAAGUAAAGAGUUUCACAUACAAUUCACAUAAUUGCAAAUCAAUUCAAGUAGCCUUUAAUGGAUAUUCAAUGAACACAAUAUACAAAUCAUGGAUACAAAUGGAAUAUCAUCAUCUCUAUGAUUGCCUCUAGGGCAUACCUCCAACAGUCUCCC
rnacentral:lncRNA from 1 species